rnacentral:lncRNA from 1 species
UAUGUGUAAUCAGCUCUCUGACUUAGUGCCUUAUUAGAAAUUAAUUUUAAGGCAUUUCCUAAUUUCCCAAGAGAGUGAAAAAGGCAACAAUUUAUAUAGGAAUGAAAAGAAGGGAACAAUUCCAGAGGAUCAAGAGAGUGAAGCAAACCUUAUGAGAGAAAGGGAACUUGAACUAGACUUUGGAGGAAGGAAGGGAUUUAGUUAAGCAGGGAGUAGGAGGGGAGGCACCAGGGAGCCAUCACUACUGUUAAGUUUGAUGAAGCACUUGAAUUACAGCUUCCAGGAGAACAUUGACUUUCUUAAUCCACAUUUUAAUUUUUAUUGAGCUAGCAGAAAACUCAUUAGAAUUAUCUUGUUCACCUCAAGUUCUCCUUUCUCCAAUCCAUGACAGAUCACCGUCUGUAUCCCCUUCCUGCCCCUUGCUAAGCCUUGAGAAUCACAAAGCAAAUGAAGAUUUUGAGGGAAAGCAUAACCAAGAAUUGUGGCCCCCAUCACCCAAUAGGUAAGUAGAGAAUCUCAGAUUCCACUUUGGAGCCCCAGCCCCUAACAUGUUUUUGCAGCUGAAAGCUACUUCAGUGUGGGAAUUUUUCAAUGAAGUAACUCAUCUCUUCUUUAAAUAGCAAGGAACUUUAAAUUCCUGCAUGGAGUAGAAAAAACAAGGAAAGCAGUUCUCACCAACAGGUGCUAGAGCAAUCAAAGAUGUAAUUUCUGAACAAGGGAUAGUAGCAAUGAAAUGUGGAGUUUUCACUUUAGAAUGAACAGGCCUGAAGUUUUAACAGCAUUAACUUAAGGACAACUGGAAACCAGCAUAGUAGAGUGGAAAGUUUGGUUAUAGACACACUUAGAUGCAAUUCCAACCUCUGCCGCUUACUAGCAAUGCAUCCUUACUAACCCCUGAAACUUACUUUCUUCCAGUAAAGUAGAGAGAAUAACAUCAGUCUAUUCAUUGCUAGGUGGCCCCGUAGGAAUUCACUAAGUGGUAGUUUCUGAUCUCCCAACUUACUGAAUAUUUUAAUAUUUUCUUAUUUCAUAUACUAUUCAACCAUGUUUUCUUGUUAAAAACUCUUCUGUGGAAAAGUAAAUGAACUUGACUUAGUCCUUGAAUAUAAGGCUUUGCUUCUUUUAACAAAAGGAUAAUUAUUUUUGUCAUCCUGGCUUAGACCAAUUCCUCUUAUUUCUACUGAGUCCCCUAGGAAAUAUGUAGAGCAACAUCAUGUUUAUUUG